rnacentral:rRNA from 1 species
GACAGAGGGUGCAAACGUUGUUCGGAAUUACUGGGCGUAAAGCGCGUGUAGGCGGCCCUGCAAGUCGGAUGUGAAAUCCCACGGCUCAACCGUGGAAGUGCAUUCGAAACUGCAGGGCUAGAGUCCUGGAGAGGAAGGUGGAAUGCUUGGUGUAGAGGUGAAAUUCGUAGAUAUCAAGCGGAACACCGAUGGCGAAGGCAGCCCCUGGGCUAACACUGACGCUCAUGCACGAAAGCGUGGGGAGCAAACAGGAUUAGAAACC